rnacentral:rRNA from 1 species
UGGGGAAUAUUGGACAAUGGGCGAAAGCCUGAUCCAGCAAUGCCGCGUGAGUGAUGAAGGCCUUAGGGUUGUAAAGCUCUUUUACCAGGGAUGAUAAUGACAGUACCUGGAGAAUAAGCUCCGGCUAACUCCGUGCCAGCAGCCGCGGUAAUACGGAGGGAGCUAGCGUUGUUCGGAAUUACUGGGCGUAAAGCGCGCGUAGGCGGUUUAUCAAGUCAGGGGUGAAAUCCCGGGGCUCAACCCCGGAACUGCCCUUGAAACUGGUUCACUAGAAUCCUGGAGAGGCGAGUGGAAUUCCGAGUGUAGAGGUUAAAUUCGUAGAUAUUCGGAAGAACACCAGUGGCGAAGGCGACUCGCUGGAAAGGUAUUGACGCUGAGGUGCGAAAGCGUGGGGAGCAAACA